rnacentral:rRNA from 1 species
UACGUAGGGUGCGAGCGUUAAUCGGAAUUACUGGGCGUAAAGCGUGCGCAGGCGGUUCGUUAAGUUCGUUGUGAAAGCCCCGGGCUCAACCUGGGAACUGCAAUGGAAACUGGCGGGCUUGAGUGUGGCAGAGGGGGGUGGAAUUCCGCGUGUAGCAGUGAAAUGCGUAGAGAUGCGGAGGAACACCGAUGGCGAAGGCAGCCCCCUGGGCCAACACUGACGCUCAGGCACGAAAGCGUGGGGAGCGAACAGG